GGCUUCAGAGGCAGGCGAGUAUCAGGCCCUGGAAGGCAGCCGGGGUGACCUAGGUCUCCUUUGCUGGGUUUCUAACGGCUCCUCUGAGAACCGGCGCUGGAGGAGAGUGAGGAAAGCAGCCGGUUGCCGGACUGAGUCCUCGCAGAGCAACUUGGACGGCCUUUUCCUGUGAUUUAACAGUCUUGGUUGACUCUGAAAGGGGAACGUAGUGCAGCUGGCCCAUAAAACUGCCGCACUUCAGGGUUUGGAAAAAACCCUCUUCAGAGAGAGUCAGAACGCCGGAGGGGUGACCGGGGCCAGAGCUCACGGCUGGCUGGGGAAAGCAGCUGUCCCCAGGGUGGCCGGGUCAGCGAGCGAGACAUCAACCCCGGCAGAGCUGCGGCAUCACAAGUGCGUGGGCGCAUGCGCUGUGGUCCUCACGCAGACAGGCUCGCUUCCAUUUCCUGGGUGGCCUGAGACCUGGCCGUCCACCCGGGGCGAUCCUUGCGUCUCUUGGCUAGGAAGCAGAGGAGGACGUGCUGGGAGAUGGGGCCAUGCGGGACGCAUGCUUUGUCACAGCGAACUCUGUUCUAACAGACCCCACGAGCAGAGGAGAAAAAUAGAGGCAAAGGAACCUGCCCCAGGACCACACAGCUAGGAAGAGGUUAGCUGAGAGAUUGGGAGUCAGGGUGGAUUUCUCUGAAAUGGUAAUAACAGAAAGGAGGAAGUCUGUUCCACAAGAAGAGAAAUACGAAAGCAAAGGUCUGGGGUGAGAAAAGUCAUGGUGAACUCACAACCCUUGGAGGGAAGUCAGUGCUGUCAUGGGAACGAGGGAUUUGAACUAGGGAGUUCUGGGUUAUUGGAAAAGGAAACAGAAGAGCUGAAGUGGGAAGGUGGAAAAGUUAAUGACAUGAUGACCCAGACUGUACCCAGGACUUGAGCUACCACAAUUCCGAGAAUUGACGGCAAAGAAAUGGGAACAAAUGCGCCCCGGAACUGAAGAUUAACUGUACCUAAAACAACCAAGAUGAUGCUAGUCAGACUACUGAUGAUAAUUGGAAGAUGAGUGUACUGUUUCUGCAUGUAACUCCCCACACACACACUUUGUCUAUAAAAACUCUCACCCCCUGCUUGUCAGGAGGGGAGGGGAGUCGGCCUUUGAACAGAUGUACAUCACCCUCCUCCCCAGUUGCCGGCAUCUGAA
ensembl:lncRNA